GACAGAGAACUCUGUGACCUGUGGGCUUCCCUUUGUCAUCCUAUGCCUGGAGCUCGGAUAAGGCAGGGACAGCAAAGGGAUGCUCAGCCGUCACCACUGAC
rnacentral:pre_miRNA from 13 species